rnacentral:rRNA from 1 species
AGUGGCGGACGGGUGAGUAACGCGUGAGAAUCUGCCUUGGGGUCGGGGACAACCACUGGAAACGGUGGCUAAUACCGGAUAAGCCGAUUGGUGAAAGAUUUAUUGCCCGAAGAGGAGCUCGCGUCUGAUUAGCUAGUUGGUGAGGUAAGAGCUCACCAAGGCAGCGAUCAGUAGCUGGUCUGAGAGGACGAUCAGCCACACUGGGACUGAGACACGGCCCAGACUCCUACGGGAGGCAGCAGUGGGGAAUUUUCCGCAAUGGGCGAAAGCCUGACGGAGCAAGACCGCGUGACGGAGGAAGGCUCUUGGGUUGUAAACCUCUUUUCUCAGGGAAGAAGCUCUGACGGUACCUGAGGAAUCAGCCUCGGCUAACUCCGUGCCAGCAGCCGCGGUAAUACGGAGGAGGCAAGCGUUAUCCGGAAUUAUUGGGCGUAAAGCGUCCGCAGGUGGCGAUUCAAGUCUGCUGUCAAAGCACGGGGCUUAACUCCGUAAAGGCAGUGGAAACUGAAUAGCUAGAGUGCCGUAGGGGUAGAGGGAAUUCCCGGUGUAGCGGUGAAAUGCGUAGAGAUCGGGAAGAACAUCGGUGGCGAAAGCGCUCUACUGGACGGCAACUGACACUCAGGGACGAAAGCUAGGGGAGCGAAUGGGAUUAGAUACCCC